rnacentral:siRNA from 1 species
UUAAUUCUCGACGAACACUGC